rnacentral:lncRNA from 1 species
AUUCAUGGAGGAGCUGCUGGUGGUUGGGUGGGCGCCCAGCCCCGUCAUGAUGCUGCUGCCUCCCCGGACCUGCGGGGAGCAGCUCAGAGGGCUCUCCUGCCUGCACCACCUGCCCUCUGCAGAGUGUUUUCUUCAUCCAUGCGUUCACUUCACCUCACUCAUCCUCGAAGGGUUGUGUGUUCACAGGGUGUCACACACAUAAUCACAGAAGAGUGUGGGACUUGAGAUGGUGCUAGGAAGAAACGCUCCUGAUGGCGGGUGGUCCCUGGGUGUGGCACAGUCCUUAAACUGGAACAGAUCUCCCUCAGGAGAAGGCGGCACCCUGCCAAGACCACCAGCACCAGGAGCCGAGGGUGGAAGCAGGUGUGCUGGGAUCCUGGGGGCCAGAUGGUUUCUGAACUGGGAUUGCAUCUAGUUUUGGAAGGUCUGAUGGUGCAUGUACCCUGACUGUGUGACACCCCAUAGCCAAACACAUCGACAUUCAUAUUGAUAUUACAGCAGAAAGUCAGACCAUAAUGGCCCUGGCCAGUUCCCAUCCCGUCUGGCCACCACGUGAGUCCAGGUCAGCUCAAGUUUUGCUGGCAAGUGGUUAGGGGCAGAAUAUCCAUUUUCAGAGCCCUUUGCACAUUGGGGGUGCGGUGCUGUGGCGUGUCCCGAUGGAGCGCAGGAAGGACUGAAGCUGAGGGGUAAAGAACACGAUGCUCUGUGCCGAAAACCUUUCACAUUCAUUUAAAGGAUCCUGUGCUAGCAAACAGAGAUGUAGUUUUUACAUAGACGAUAAUUGAAGGGUUUCUAUCUUUUUCUUGUUGAAUUUAAGAGCACUUUAUAUAGUACAGAUCUCUUUCUUUCUUUCUGGCCACUCAUGUGGAACUUCCUGGGACAGGGAUUAAAUCCGAGCUGCAAUGGUGACCUAUGCCACAGCUGCUGCAACACUGGAUCCUUUAGCCCACUGCUCUGACUGGGGAUCAAACCCAUGCUUCCACAGUGACCCGAGCUGCUGCAAUUGGAUUUUUAACCCACUGAGCCAGUAGGAACUCCUCCAGCUCUUAAAAUACUUAGAUGUUGAAAUUAUUGAACUUUUUUUUUUUCAUUUUCCUUUAUUUUAAGGUCUUUGGCCCCAAUGGGAAGUUUAGUUUUUAUGUGUACUAAUCCAACCAACAUCUUUCAGCUGAUAGGGACUUUCCUAUGCCAGGUUUAUGCCAGAAGUUUUCUAUGUUUUCUUCCAAUUCCUUUAAGGUUUUAUUUUUCACAUCUUCAUAUUUAAUUCUCCUGGAAGAACUCCAACUUUUAGGAUUUGGGGUGUGGAGCCCAACAUACUAAAUUUCCCACUGUGCUGAUCAGCAUAUGCCACUUUCAUCACCUACAAAAACCUGUCUAUGCACGAGGCUGUUCUCCCACGGUCCUGUCUGUCUGUCUUGUCCUGCACCUGCAGGACCCUGUGCGUCCGUAAGAGAUUUUUACAUCUGAUAAGACAAGUGAUUGCCAUUAUUCCUUUUCAUUUCAAAAAUGUCUAUGCUAUUCUCUUUUUUAAAAAAAUUUAUUUAUUUUUGUCUUUUUGCCACUUCUUGAGCCGCUCCUGCGGCAUAUGGAGGUUCCCAGGCUAGGGGUCAAAUCGUAGCUGUAGCUGCCGGCCUACGCCAGAGCCACAGCAACACAGAAUCCGAGCCGCGUCUGCGACCUACACCACAGCUCACGGCAACGCCGGAUCAUUAAUCCACUGUCUAUGCUAUUCUCAAACAUUGUGUUCCUUCUGAUGAAAUUUAGAAUCAACUUCUUAAAUUCCAAAUAAUUUCCAUUAGAAUUUUGAAUGUGGUUGAAACCGUAGAUCGAUUUAAAGGAAAUCUCCUUCUUUAGAAUGUCAUCUCUUUUUCCAGGAAUCAAGAAAAUCAUUGCUGCGUUAGGAAUUUUGUAUGUCCUUAUAUUGAUUUUUAUUGUUGCUGUUUUCCUCCUAUUUAUUUUUGCAGUAUUAGCUUUACUGAGAUUCAGUUCAUGUACCAUUCAGUUCACCUGCAUAAAGUGGGUAACUCAGUAGUUUUCGGUAUCUUCAUCAAGAUGUGCAGCUGUUACCACAGUCAAUUAUGGAACAUUUUCAUCUCCUCAAGAAGAAGCCCAUACAUCUUAGCCAUUACCUGUCCCCCGACCUACUAUUUACCCCUAUUCCUAGACAACUACUCUCCUUUCUGUUUCUCUGUUUACCUAUUCCGGACAUUCUGUAUAAACAGAAUCGGAUAAUACAUGUUCUUUUGUGAUCAGCUUCCUUCACUUUACCUAAUGUUUUCAAGGCUCUGUCAAGUCCUGACACAUCAGUAUGUCAUUCCUUUUCAAGGGCAAACUAUUCCAUUGUGUGGGUAAACCACAUAUUAUUUAUCCACCAUCAUCUGGGGGGCAUUUAUGGUGUUUUCACCUUUUGGCUGAGGGUAUAUUCUAGAAUAUUCAUGACAAGUUUUUAUGUGGCUAUAUUUCUGUUUUUAUGUGGACUUGCUGGGUCAAAUGGUGACUCCAUAUUUAAUUUUUUUUUGUCUUUUGUCUUUUCUAGGGCCGCACCUGAGGCAUAUGGAGGUUCCCAGGCUAGGGGUCUAAUCAGAGCUACAGCUGCUGGCCUACACCAUAGCCACAGCAACGCCAGAUCCUUAACCCACUGAGUGAGGCUAGGGAUCGAACCCGCAACCUCAUGGUUCCUAGUUGUAUUCGUUUCCACUGUGCCACGACGGGAAUCCCCAUAUUUAAUUUUUAAAGAACUGCAAGACUGCGUUCCAAAGUGGCUGCCCUGUUUUACAUUCCCACCUGCAGUGAAUUCCAGCUUCUCUACGUCCUUGCUAAUGCUUAUUAUCUGACCUAGUGAGUGUGCAGAGACAUCUCAUUGCAGUUCGAUUUGCAUUUCUCUGAUGAAGAGUGAUGCUGAGCAUAUUUUCAGGUGAGAGGAGAUGCUGCCCCUGGCCCUAGGGAGCUUUCCCCCAGGGGUGGGAGCAGCGGCUUUCAGCUCCGUCAGAUGGCAGCAGGAGGGGUGUUUGGAAGAUGCUGGUAACCUACCAAGCCAUGGUUUCUUAAAUGAGGGCAAAACUGUAAAACCUGCAGAAGACCCCUGGAGACUAACACCCCAAGAGGAGGGUCAGCUGAAAGGAAGAGAUGUUUGAAAAACCUGCAGAGCAAAGACUGUUGCCAACCCAGCAGAACCAACAACCAAGGCGGCAGGAGAGAGGUGCCUCCAGGCCGGAGCCUGGGACAGCAUUGCUUUGAAUUGUGUCCAGUUCAACACAGGCUGGCAGACAAGUUACCUGCAUGUUUCCAAACCUCUGGGAAGGAGGGAGACAGCCCCUCCCCAGCCUGGCCCUGGCAGUGGCGGUGGCAGGGGGAGGUCUGGUCUGGGACUUGGCCUCAGGCCCCAGGGUUGUUCUGGGACCCGGUGGGGGUUGGGGGCCUGCAUCAAAUCCGUGCUCCCCCCCGCCCCCCCGUCGCCACAGGCUGGGCCUCUUCUCCUUUCAGCUCAUGAGUCCCCACCAGCCUCUCUGCACAGGCUCCUUCCCUCCCUGCCAUAAAGGCCCCGGAAAUGGCAAGACAGGAGACCCCUUGCCUUCGGCCUGCCUGUCUCUCCUGCACUGGUGUUUGGUCAGUUCCUCAGACUUGCCAGGACCACAGCAAAGCCAGGUCUGAAGUUGGGGAAUGGCUCACCUUCAGUUCCGGGGGCCGCUGGGCUGGGUGUCCUCUGCUCCCCUGCCAAGUGGGUCCCUGGAAGGGCUCCCUGGUGGGUCGGCCCAUUGCUGCUCAGACCUCCAUUCUGUAGGGAGCCUCUGGAGACCUCCUCCCCCUCCCCCUCUGCCCCUGCCCCGCCUCCCCCCCCCCCCCCGGGGGGGGGUGGGAGGAGAAGCAAGGGCUGGAAAAAGAAGCAGGAACUAUUCACAGGUGCGCCUGGCCCUGUAGCAGGCAGACUCAGGGAUCCUGUCCUCUCACGGGGCACACGCUCCAGGAUAGAAUGCAACAAAUAGGAACCUCAGGUGGGGACAAGCUCCUCGAGAAAAUCUCUGGGACGAGAGAUAGAGGGGGCAAUGGGACCCCAGGGUGUCACACAGAUGGCCGAGGUGGGGUCAGCAGGACCCUGUGGCCCCUGGCGAGGAGGGAGAUAGAUGGUUUCAUAGUUGUCUGCAGGGUGGAGGGUGGGUGCUGGUGGCAGAGACUUACGUGGGGGGAGGAUGAAAACGUGAAUGGUUGAGGAAUGAUUUGGGAGCAUGAAGGAGACGAUCUGUUUUCUGAGACGGGGAAUAAGAGAGACUUGGGGUGGUGGACAGUCUGAGGUCUGUUCUGGGCAGUUCAGUGUCCCCCCAGCAGCGUGGUAAGCCCACCUCUGGGAGGUGAUCAGGGUUGGCUAUGCCACAGGGUGGGGCCCCCAUGAUGGGAGUAGCACCUGAUAAGAUCACCAGAGCAGGCUCUCCCCCCAGAACAGGACCCAUCGAGAAGCUGGCUGUCCUUGACCAGAGGCUAAUGCUGCCAGCACCUCUAUCUUGGACCUGCAGCCUCCGGAGCUGAGAGGAACCAGGUCUGCUAAGCCUGAGCCCGUGGUGUCUUGCUGGAACAUCCUGAGCAGACAAGGCAGCCAGGAGGGGCCCUGAGGAGCCCCACACCUGCUGACCAGGGCCUGGAUCUGUGGGAGAGACCUGCCUUUAAGUCUUGGUCCAGGGCCUCCAUCACCACGGGGCUCAUUUGGAUCCUCUGUGCUACCCGGAAGCUGAAGCAGCAAGUGUGCCCCCAGGACCUUGAGCUAUGUUAACUGCCUGCUUGUCCCUGCCACAUGGCCCUGGGAAAGGCCAGGGCCAGGGAACACUGAGGUUGCCCUGGGCACACUGCGGUUGACUGCCACGCCCAGUGCCAUUGCCAGUGGAGAACUCACUCAAAAGCAUUCCAUUUUGAGUUGUGAGAUUUACAGAAGAGUUCCUGCACACCUUCUCAGCCUCCCCUGGGGCUCCCUGAGGUCACGUGUGUGCCCGCAGGGCCCUCUUCUGCCCAGGUCCCAGAUGGACUCCUUGGUCUGUCUGUCCCUGGACUUUCAAGCUGCCCCUGUAGAGAUGCGGGCCCUUCCUGCCUGAGCGUCCUGCCCACUGGGCCUGUCUGGUGCUUCUCUUGGGCAGACUGAACUCACGUUUUUGGCUGCUCUGUAGUACCCCCACUCUCCGAUGUAUUCUAUUUGAGGGCACUUGAGGUCACUGUGUCCAUGAUGUGACAUUCACCUUAUCACCUGGCUAGGGUGGUGCCAGCCCAGACUCCCUACUGCAGCUUAUACUGUCCACUUUGUAAUUCGUAAAGGUUUUUGGUGACACUUCCAG